rnacentral:lncRNA from 1 species
CUUUCUCCUUUUCCUUCUCUCCUUUAUCACUCAAUAACCAAAAGAAAAAGUUCUAUCUCAUAUAUAUAUUUUUUUUUCAUUUCUCACAACUCCGUUAGAAGAAAUCAAGUUAUUAGAGAGUGAGGAGAACAAUUCUAUUUUUGAUGUCCAAUGAUAAUUAAGGUUUUAAGGUAACUUAUUGACUCAACAAUUACUUAUAUUCUAAGUUUUAUCAUUCCUAUAAUUAUGAGUAACAACAAAUUCGCAUUAAGGUUUAUAAAGUUAGGAAAUGUGGGACUCUUUUUCAAUUGAGCUAAAUUAUGUUAAAUUUUUAAUAUUGUUAGCUCACAAAUACUAUUAUCGUCUUAUUUUUAGAGUUAUAGAGUUAAUGUUCAGCAAUUGGUUGUUGGUGUCUUUGAAUGCUUGGUGAAUAUUAUGUUUAUGAUUAUUUUUAUAUACAUCAUCAUUAAUGCCUAAUUAUAUUCAUGAUUUUAGCAUUUGAAAAAAUAUUAAUUUAUUGUAAUAUUUGAAUUAUUAUCGAGAAUAGAGGUUUAUUUUUGUGAAGCUCUUAAUUUAGUAAAUGCACAUGAGACAACAUAUAUAUGAUCUAUAAAGCUUAUAUACCUCCAAGUAUGGUAUGUAUAUAUAGUUGGUUCAUGAUGAAACUUAGGGAUAUGUUGCAAGUAUUAAAAAGUUUUUUAUAUAUUAUGUAGUUUGAAUUGGUUUGGGAGAUUCUAACUAAAAAGAAUGUAAUUAAUUGUGGCAUAAUAUUAACUUAAAUGUAUCUGUUUUUACACUUCAUCUAAUAAAGACGUUGCUAACCUAACGUAUAGAUCACACGUUGAAUUUGUUAUCCCGUAUAAACACACAAGAUAAGAUGGUUAUUUUAGAGGUGGAGUCACUCAAGUGUGUAUUAUUGGAAUUUAAUUCUUGGAUCGCGAACUCCCAUUUCAAUUAUGUUGACUUAUUUUUAUUAUAAUUCUCUCUAUCAAUUGGAUAAUAAUGUGUAUAUUAUGAUGUUUUUUUUUUGUGUGUAAUAAUUUUCCCUAUCAAUCAUUGACUCAUAUUAAUAUUAGUAGGAUGAUAAAUAUUUUGUACUCAAAAUUCAAAAUUAAAAGUUUUAUACAACCAAUAAAAUAAUAAAUGGUAAGAUUUAAAGUAUAUCAAGCAAAAUUGUUUAUUUAUGUUUUUUUUACUAAAGGUAUUUUUGUGAAUAUUCAAUUUUCCAAAACAUAUAAUCAUAAUUGUGUGUUUAUUGCAAUAAUCAUGGAUUUAUUCAAAUCAUUUGUUUCCGGGCAAAGUGGUUAUCAUGAAAUUAGAAGAAAAAUUUACUAUCUUUAGCAAAUUGAAAGUUAUUGAAUAAAUUCUUAGGCUGCAUUCGCGGUAUGGGGUGUUGAGACUGAAAUUGGGAUAUUAGAAUUCAGUAUUGUAUUUAGUAUGUAGGACUGAAAAUGGGUAAAAUAGAAUUUGGACACCACAACACAUAUGCCGAAUAGCGGGGUUAUUUUUGAAAAUUGCGCCCAAAUUCCAGUGGUUAGUCAACAGACGUGGUUUGGGGCGCGGGGAUUAGUUUUUGUGGCAACUUUCAGCAACCGCUGCAAAUCAGGUUGUUAAUUUUGCGGCGGUCUAUCACCGUCGCUAUAUUAGUUAGUGGAUUUCAAAAAUAAUUUGCUGCGGUUACAAAACCGUCGUUAUUUUAUUUGGGUUUUUUUAAAAAAUUGUAAUGAUUUUGAACUGCAGCAAUAUCAUACAUGAGCUCAAAAAAAAAAAAGGUGACUACCUACAAUAGUUUAUAAAGUAAAUAGCCAUUUUGGCAUCCGAAAAAUUCAACUUUUGACAAAAUGAACUUCCACAUUUUUUUUUGACAAAAUGACCUUCGAAAAAUAUAUUCUGUUUGACGAAGUGACCCAAACGUUUAGUCAAUGAUUUUGUCAUCUAGUCAACAGUUAAAUUUUUCAUGAAAAUACUAAUUUGUCAUUGUCUUCUCUUGUAAAAUUACUAAUUUACCCCUCUCAUAACCACUUCUUCCAUCACCCCCUACCCAAUCACACUCCACAAACCCUGAAUGACUCUCUCAUUCACCAUUCACAGUGCCUCCAUUCUCCAUUCUCAUCACCUAUCACUCAUCAGUUUUCUCUUCUCCCACACACUCUAGUCUCACACAUCAUGCACCAUUCAUAGCGUCUCACACUCUUGCUCUGCCUUCCACGAUUAACCACUUCUGGACGUUCACUGUAUGCAAUUCCAUGCGCCUAGGGCUUUGUUGUCCACGAUUCCCUAUGCCCGAAGCUUUGCCGUCCGCAAUUCACGAAGCCUGGAGCUCCACCAUCCAUGAUUUAUCGCGCCUCAAGCUCUGCCAUCUCUCACCUCCCCGAGCGUCACUGCCUUCGUUUGGCCAGUAUCAUGGCUGACCCACCAUCCGCUCCUCCGAGUUAUAUGGUGUUUUCAUCCUCUUCUCUAACCCUCUUCUUCGUGGUAUACCAUUUUCUACUUCUAUGUUCUCUUUUUUUUUUUGUUCUUGUAUUUUAUGAUGCUGGUGAUCCUAGUGAGGGUAGUGGAAUGGAGUGGUAGAAAGAGAGAUGGAAUAGGGUAAAAAGAAGAGGUAGAGUGGGAGUGACAGCGACAAUGAUGAUGCAGUAGGUGAGAUUGGGUGGUGGAUACGGGUGGUGACAGAAUAAUGAGAUGGAGAAAAAGAAUGGGGUCGGAUGGGUGUGAUGGUAGUGAUGAUGAUGACAAAGAUAGAUUAGUAAUUUCAUUGAAAUUUAACUUUUGACUGGAUGAAUAAACUAUUGACCAAACGUUUGAGGUACUUUGUCAAACGAAAUAUAUUUUUCGGGGGUCAUUUUGUCAAAAACAAAUGUUGAGAUCCGUUUUGUCAAAACCUGAGUCUUUCGGGUGCCAAAAUUGUUAUUUACUCAUAAUUUAUACUAUUUUUCUUUACUAUAACAUGUUUUCUUUACAUCAUAUUUUAUUAAACUUGAGAUAUUAACAUAAAAGAACACUAAAAAGGUAGUAGUAACGUAUGGUAGCACAAUAAGUUGGGGAGGUAAAAGUUAUAACGGUGAAGAUGAAAGGGGUGUUACCGUGGUGGUAGUAAUGGUGAUAAUUGGUCUGUUAAAAUUUGGCAGACUUUUAAACAAAUGCUUCGCAUUGUCUCAAAAUAAUAAUAUUAUGAAUGUAUUAUUUGUAGUUUUUUUGGUUAAAAAGAAUCAUGUUCAAGGAAAGAAAAGAAGAAAACGGUUUAAUAACUAAAUCGUAAAAUUACCAUUUCAAACCGUAUCGUUUUAAAUAAUCGGCAUCUGAGAAAUUGGUAGCAGAGAGUAUCUCAGCUCCAAAUCAUGAUUAGAAUAAUUUACUAAAGCUAAAUCAUUCAAGAAAAGGUAGUAGUAAAGUUUUCAUAGAUGAAUUUUAACUCGAGGUUGAAAUUCAUCGUUAUUGGUACGAUUUUCAGCUUGUAAUACGCUUUUACUUCUCUCUGUAUAUCCUUUUCUUUUCACUUAUCUCAUCUAUAUCCACCUUAUUAUAUUGUGAUGUGGUGAUUUUCGGAUAUUUAUCGAAUUCUCAUCACAUAAUUUUCAAAAAUUAAUUAUGUGAAGACUCAGGAUGUUACACAAAUUCCUACCAAUCCACUAGCAGCACACUCAAAUGCACCAACUAAGAUGAUCCCUAGCCAAUCGAAAGGGGUUCCAGUUACACAGGAGUCUCAAGCUUCACCAAUUCCCACCAAGUUCAUACUUUAUUUGUAAUCUAUUUUUUGUUAGAAAUUAUAUUGUUCUACAAUGUGAAUCUGAUUAGCGAAUUGACUUUGUCCAUCGUGAUUGUAAAAAGCAAGAUCAAGGCCUCCAAAACUUCAUGUUGUUAAAGAAAAAGCGAAAACUCCAGCCUCAUCACAACCGGCUACAGCUGCAAUAAUUCCGAUUUUGGCUGAAACAAUCAAGGGAACCAGUUCACAACUGCAAAGGAACUAGCUAGCUUCAUGACUUUUGUGGCAAGUCCGGAGUUCAAACGUCUGAGAAAGAAAGAUAAAGAUGUUUGAGAUGUAUUAGGUGUCAGUGACUAAAUUGUGUGUUUUGUAAAGUGCUAAGAACCUUUUGGCAUUAUAGACAUAUUGCUAAGUAUUUUGUACAAGUCUGUUAUCUUUUAGUAUAGUCCAAAUUUAGGUGACUUAUGCUUGAUAUUUUGAAGACUUGCUUAGUUUUUAUAGACUUGGUAUUAUGAAGACUAUGCUAGCAUGCUUCUAUCGACAUACAAAUGCUUCAGUUUCAAUAUAUAUGAUAAAACUUAAUUUAUCUUA